GUCAGCAGCCGCGGUAACACCGGCGGCCCGAGUGGUGAUCGUGAUUAUUGGGUCUAAAGGGUCCGUAGCCGGUUGGUCAGUCCUCCGGGAAAUCUGAUAGCUCAACUAUUAGGCUUUCGGGGGAUACUGCCAGACUUGGAACCGGGAGAGGUAAGAGGUACUACAGGGGUAGGAGUGAAAUCUUGUAAUCCCUGUGGGACCACCUGUGGCGAAGGCGUCUUACCAGAACGGGUUCGACGGUGAGGGACGAAAGCUGGGGGCACGAACCGGAUUAGAUACCCGGGUAGUCCCAGCCGUAAACGAUGCUCGCUAGGUGUCAGGCAUGGCGCGACCGUGUCUGGUGCCGCAGGGAAGCCGUGAAGCGAGCCACCUGGGAAGUACGGCCGCAAGGCUGAAACUUAAAGGAAUUGGCGGGGGAGCACAACAACGGGUGGAGCCUGCGGUUUAAUUGGACUCAACGCCGGACAACUCACCGGGGGCGACAGCAAUAUGUAGGCCAAGCUGAAGACUUUGCCUGAAUCGCUGAGAGGAGGUGCAUGG
rnacentral:rRNA from 1 species